GGCUAAAUGAGGACAAACCUGUCUCUUAUAACCAAUCAGUGAAACUGAUCUCCCAAUACAAAAGUUGGGAUAUACACAUAAGACGAGAAGACCCCGUGGAGCUUAAAACAAACUACCAAUCUAAACGACCCUGGUAUGCUGUUUUGAGUUGGGGCGACUUCGGAACAAAACAAAACUUCCGAGCACAGAACCACCACUUCUAACUAAGGCCAACAAGCCUAAGUUUAACCUGACCCGGCCUCGCGCCGAUCAACGAACCAAGUUACCCCGGGGAUAACAGCGCUAUCUUCUUCAAGAGUCCCUAUCAACAAGAAGGUUUACGACCUCGAUGUUGGAUCAGGACACCCUAAUGGUGCAGCCGCUAUUAAUGGUUCGUUUGUUCAACGAUUAACAGUCCU
rnacentral:rRNA from 1 species